GACGAACGCUGGCGGCGUGCUUAACACAUGCAAGUCGAACGGAGCGAAUGAAAGCUUGCUUUUAUAAGCUUAGUGGCAAACGGGUGAGUAACACGUAGACAACCUGCCGACAGGAUGGGGACAACAUUCCGAAAGGAAUGCUAAUACCGAAUGAAGUGCAGGGGAGGCAUCUCCCCUGCAUGAAAGAUGGCCUCUUUUUAUGCUAUCACCUGUUGAUGGGUCUGCGUCUGAUUAGCUGGUAGGUGAGGUAACGGCUCACCUAGGCGACGAUCAGUAGCCGGUCUGAGAGGAUGAACGGCCACAUUGGGACUGAGACACGGCCCAGACUCCUACGGGAGGCAGCAGUGGGGAAUCUUCCGCAAUGGGCGCAAGCCUGACGGAGCAACGCCGCGUGAGUGAAGAAGGUCUUCGGAUCGUAAAGCUCUGUUGAUGGGGACGAACGUGCCUAAUGCGAAUAGUUUUAGGU
rnacentral:rRNA from 1 species